UAGCUCGAAUAUCGUGCUUUGACAGUUCCAUUUCAGAUGAUUAUAACAAUGGUGAAAAACAUAUCAAUGUUAAUUCAUUGAUACAUUUGGGCAAGACUAUGUCUGUAUUAUCAGACAAUUGCAAAAAAUAAAACAAUGUAUAAAAAAAAUUC